rnacentral:rRNA from 1 species
UACGUAGGGGGCAAGCGUUGUCCGGAUUUAUUGGGCGUAAAGGGCGCGUAGGCGGCCUGUUAAGUCGAACGUGAAAUCCCUGGGCUCAACCCAGGAACUGCGUCCGAUACUGGCAGGCUUGAAUUCGGGAGAGGGAUGCGGAAUUCCAGGUGUAGCGGUGAAAUGCGUAGAUAUCUGGAGGAACACCGGUGGCGAAGGCGGCAUCCUGGACCGAUAUUGACGCUGAGGCGCGAAAGCCAGGGAG